rnacentral:tRNA from 1 species
GCACUCUUAGCUCAGUUGGUAGAGCAAAUGACUCUUAAUCAGUGGGUCCAGGGUUCGAUUCCCUGAGGGUGUA